rnacentral:rRNA from 1 species
UGGGGAAUAUUGCACAAUGGGCGCAAGCCUGAUGCAGCCAUGCCGCGUGUAUGAAGAAGGCCCUCGGGUUGUAAAGUACUUUCAGCGGGGUGGAAGGGAGUAAAGUUAAUACCUUUUCUCAUUUACGUUACCCGCAGAAGAAGCACCGGCUAACUCCGUGCCAGCAGCCGCGGUAAUACGGAGGGUGCAAGCGUUAAUCGGAAUUACUGGGCGUAAAGCUCACGCAGGCGGUUUGUUAAGUCAGAUGUGAAAUCCCCGGGCUCAACCUGGGAACUGCAUCUGAUACUGGCAAGCUUGAGUCUCGUAGAGGGGGGUAGAAUUCCAGGUGUAGCGGUGAAAUGCGUAGAGAUCUGGUAGAAUACCGGUGGCGAAGGCGGCCCCCUGGACGAAGACUGACGCUCAGGUGCGAAAGCGUGGGGAGCAAACAGG